CCUGGUGCUUGCACCGGAAAAACUUAGCGGCGAACGGGUGAGUAACACGUAAAGAACCUGCCUCAUAGACUGGGAUAACUAUUGGAAACGAUAGCUAAUACCGGAUAAUAGCAUUAACUGCAUGGUUGAUGUUUGAAAGUUGGUUAUGCUAACACUAUGAGAUGGCUUUGCGGUGCAUUAGCUAGUUGGUGGGGUAAAAGCCUACCAAGGCGACGAUGCAUAGCCGACCUGAGAGGGUGAUCGGCCACACUGGGACUGAGACACGGCCCAGACUCCUACGGGAGGCAGCAGUAGGGAAUCUUCCGCAAUGGGCGAAAGCCUGACGGAGCAACGCCGCGUGAGUGAAGAAGGAUUUCGGUUCGUAAAGCUCUGUUGUUAGGGAAGAAUGAUUGUGUAGUAACUAUACACAGUAGAGACGGUACCUAACCAGAAAGCCACGGCUAACUACGUGCCAGCAGCCGCGGUAAUACGUAGGUGGCAAGCGUUGUCCGGAAUUAUUGGGCGUAAAGCGCGCGCAGGUGGUUUAAUAAGUCUGAUGUGAAAGCCCACGGCUCAACCGUGGAGGGUCAUUGGAAACUGUUAAACUUGAGUGCAGGAGAGAAAAGUGGAAUUCUAGUGUAGCGGUGAAAUGCGUAGAGAGUAGGAGGACACCAGUGGCGAAGGCGGCUUUUUGGCCUGUAACUGACACUGAGGCGCGAAAGCGUGGGGAGCAAACAGGAUUAGAUAUCCUGGUAGUCCACGCCGUAAACGAUGAGUGCUAAGUGUUGGUCUCAUAAGAGAUCAGUGCUGCAGCUAA
rnacentral:rRNA from 1 species